rnacentral:rRNA from 1 species
AUGACGGCGCAGGCGCUCGUGCCGCCGCCGCCGGAGCCGCGGCAGCUCAGCCUGGCGGGCCUCAGGGCCGUCUCCGUGCUCGGCUGCGGCGCCAAGGGCGUCGUCUUCCACGUCGUGCCCAAGGGCGAGGGCGGCGCCGGCGAAGUCGCCAUGACACUCAAGGCGGUCUCGCGGGAGGCCGCGCGACACAAGAAGAGCGGCGGGAGCGGCGGCGGGGACGGACACCGAAGGAUCUGGUUCGAGCGCGACGUGCUCCUGGCCCUGCGCCACUUGCUGCUCCCCGCCCUCCGCGGCGUCUUCGCCACUGACGCCGUCAUCGGCUUCAUCGCUGCAGCGGCGGCGACCUGA